GACGAACGCUGGCGGCGUGCCUAACACAUGCAAGUCGAACGAAGUGGCGAACGGGUGAGUAAUACGUGGGUAACCUGCCCUCCUUUUGGGGAUAAGCCUUGGAAACGGGGUCUAAUACCGAAUCUAGGAUGAUGGGCUCGCGGCUUAUCUGCUGGUUGGUGGGGUGAUGGCCCACGAAGGCGGUGACGGGUAGCCGGGCUGAGAUGGGGACCGGGAACAUUGGGACGGAGAUACGGCCCAGACGAGUACGGGGGGGGGCAGUGGGGGAUAUGGCACAAUGGGCGAAAGCCUGAUGCAGCGACGCCGCGUGGGGGAUGAAGGCUGUCGGGUUGUAAACCUCUUGCGCUAGCGAACGGGUAGGUGGAGAAGAAGCGCCGGCUAACUACGUGCCAGCAGCCGCGGUAAUAC
rnacentral:rRNA from 1 species